CUCUCGAUAAAUUUUAAACACUUCAAAAUUUUUCUAGAACCUCCCCAAGCCCCUUAUCUCUUCUUUCUUUUUUGUCCACGCCCCCUCCCUUUCUCAUUUUAUAAAACAUCGCAAGAGAUGUUGAAAGCGUGUGAGUAGAUAAGAAGAGAUGGUUGCUCACUUAAAUUCAAAUCAAAUUUGAAUUCAAGUGUCAACCAAUCUUAUCCUCAUCUACUUGUGCGAGAAAGAAGAGAUGGCGUGGUCUUUUUUUUCUUUUUUUUGUGCGUGGAGACUUUCACGAGAAACCAUUUCUCGUGUGGAAUAUGGGGCACACAAAAGAGGAUAAGCUGGCGCAUGGUUAUUUGGUUAUCCAUUCAAAUUCAAAAUCUCUUUGAAUUUGGAUGGGUAACAAAUCAAGUUAAUCCAAAUAAUUGACACACAGAAAUAUGGGCGUGAGAGAGCUUUGCAUGGGAGAAAAUUCAUGAAAAAAUUUCUUCUCGUGAAUUCAAAUGGGCGCAAGGAAGUUGGGUGGCGCAGGAAAUUUAAAACAAAGUGGUUUGAUUCAAAUUAAGCCAACCUAAUUAAAAUAGGUUAAGCACAAUUAGACCAGAUUAAACCCAACACAAUUAGGCUUAAUUAGGCUCAAUAAAAUUCUAAUCAAAUCAGGAAUUAACUAAGUCUAACCCCUGAUCAAAUCAGGGACUAAAUCACCUUAGCGAUUAGAUCAACACUUAACCUAAUCGGGUCAAUCCAAACUGAAUCCAAUUCAAUUGGACUUGAUCUAAAAAUAAUUACUCAAUCAAAUUGAGUUAAUUAACGAUCAAAUCACUAAUUAAACCUCUCAUAAAUAUUGAGUCCAAAUCCGAUGGGCAAUUAGGCAUCAGAGACCAUCGAUAU
rnacentral:lncRNA from 1 species